GUCAGGGAUGAAAGCGACAAUGCUGGCAGCACAGAGUAUCCAGUUAGGCCUUAACGAUGUUGUUGUUUCUGGUGGGAUGGAAAGCAUGUCCAAUGCACCAAAGUACCUGGCAGAAGCAAGGAAGGGGUCUCGUCUAGGACAUGAUUCUCUUGUUGAUGGAAUGCUGAAAGAUGGUUUAUGGGAUGUCUAUACGAACUCUGGCAUGGGAACUUGUGCAGAGUUAUGUGCAGACAAAUAUCAAAUUUCAAGGGAGGCCCAGGAUGACUUCGCUGUUCAGAGCUUUGAGCGAGGUAUUGCUGCCAAGGACAGCAAUGCCUUUGAAUGGGAAAUUGUUCCGGUUGAAGU
rnacentral:misc_RNA from 1 species